rnacentral:rRNA from 1 species
GGACAACCUGCCCUCGGGAGGGGGAUAACCCCGGGAAACUGGGGCUAAACCCCCAUAGGUGAUGGAUACUGGAAUGUUCCAUCACCGAAAGUCCGCAAGGAGCCCGAGGAUGGGUCUGCGGCGGAUUAGGUAGUUGGUGGGGUAACGGCCCACCAAGCCUAAGAUCCGUACGGGCCAUGGGAGUGGGAGCCCGGAGAUGGACCCUGAGACAAGGGUCCAGGCCCUACGGGGCGCAGCAGGCGCGAAACCUCCGCAAUGCGGGAAACCGCGACGGGGUCAGCCGGAGUGCCGAUGCUUGCAUCGGCUGUCGGGGAGCCUAAAAAGCUCCCCAUAGCAAGGGCCGGGCAAGGCCGGUGGCAGCCGCCGCGGUAAUACCGGCGGCCCGAGUGGCGGCCACUAUUAUUGGGCUUAAAGCGUCCGUAGCCGGGUUGGUUAGUCUCCCGGGAAAUCUGGCCGCUUAACGGUCAGAAUUCCGGGAGAUACUGCCAGCCUAGGGACCGGGAGAGGCCGAGGGUAUUCCCGGAGUAGGGGUGAAAUCCUAUAAUCCCGGGAGGACCACCUGUGGCGAAGGCGCUCGGCUGGAACGGGUCCGACGGUGAGGGACGAAGGCCAGGGGAGCAAACCGGAUUAGAUACCCGGGUAGUCCUGGCUGUAAACGAUGCGGACUUUGUGUCGGACAAGCUAUGAGCUUGUCCGGUG